ensembl:misc_RNA RN7SL594P RNA, 7SL, cytoplasmic 594, pseudogene
GCCAGGUGCAGUGGUACAUGCCUAUUGUACAAGUUACUCAAGAGGCUGAGGCUGGAGGAUCACUUGUAUCUAGGAGUUCUGGGCUAUAGUAUGGUAUGUCAAUUAGGUGUCCAUGCUAAGUUCAGCAUCAAUACAGUGACCUCCUGGGAGCAGGUGAUCAUCAAGUUGCCCAAGGAGACUGGGAAGUGACCCAAGUUGGAAACAGGGCAGGUCAAAACUUGCAUGCUGAUCAGUAAUGAGCUAUGCCCAGGCAACAUAGCAUAGGCAACAUAGCAAGAUCAUCUCUU